ensembl:misc_RNA Metazoa_SRP Metazoan signal recognition particle RNA
GUCAGGCACAGUAGCGCACGCCUGUGGCACAAGCUACUCCAGAGGCUGAGGUGGGAUGAUCACCUGAGCCAGGGAUUUCUGGGCUGUUGUGCACUAUGUUGAUCAGGUGUCCACACUAAGUUAGGCAUCAAUAUGGUGACCUCUCAGGAGCAGGGAACCACGAGGUUGCCUAAGAAAGGGUGAACUGGUUCAGGUUGGAAAGGGAGCAGGUCAAAACUCCCGUGCUGAUCAGUAGUGGGAUCUCGCCUGUGAAUAGCCACUGUGCUUCAGCCUGGGCAACAUAGCGAGACCCCCGUCUUCU